rnacentral:rRNA from 1 species
CCUACGGGUGGCAGCAGUGAGGAAUAUUGGUCAAUGGGCGUAAGCCUGAACCAGCCAAGUCGCGUGAGGGAUGAAGGUUCUAGGGAUCGUAAACCUCUUUUAUAAGGGAAUAAGGUGAGGGACGUAACCAGUUGUGUAUGUACCUUAUGAGUAAGGAUCGGCUAACUCCGUGCCAGCAGCCGCGGUAAUACGGAGGAUCCGAGCGUUAUCCGGAUUUAUUGGGUUUAAAGGGUGCGUAGGCGGCCUGUUAAGUCAGGGGUGAAAGUCUGUGGCUCAACCAUAGAAUUGCCGUUGAAACUGGGAGGCUUGAGUAUGUGUGAGGCAGGCGGAAUGCGUGGUGUAGCGGUGAAAUGCUUAGAUAUCACGCAGAACCCCGAUUGCGAAGGCAGCCUGUUAAGACAUGACUGACGCUGAUGCACGAAAGCGUGGGGAUCAAACAGGAUUAGAUACCCGUGUAGUC